UGGUUCAAGGGUAGAACAUCUGCCUAGCAGGCACAAGGCCCUGAGUUCAAACCUCAG
rnacentral:tRNA from 1 species